UACGGAGGGUGCAAGCGUUAUCCGGAUUUAUUGGGUUUAAAGGGUCCGUAGGCGGAUCUGUAAGUCAGUGGUGAAAUCUCACAGCUUAACUGUGAAACUGCCAUUGAUACUGCAGGUCUUGAGUAAAUUUGAAGUGGCUGGAAUAAGUAGUGUAGCGGUGAAAUGCAUAGAUAUUACGUAGAACACCAAUUGCGAAGGCAGGUCACUAAGAUUUAACUGACGCUGAUGGACGAAAGCGUGGGGAGCGAACAGG
rnacentral:rRNA from 1 species